rnacentral:rRNA from 1 species
AACGUAGGUUCCGAGCGUUAUCCGGAUUUACUGGGCGUAAAGCGCGUUCAGGCGGUUUGGCAAGUCGGGCAUGAAAUCUCUCGGCUCAACCGGGAGAGGUUGUCCGAUACUGCUGGACUUGAGGGCAGUAGAGGGUGGUGGAAUUCCGGGUGUAGUGGUGAAAUGCGUAGAUAUCCGGAGGAACACCAGUGGCGAAAGCGGCCACCUGGACCAAUACUGACACUGAGGAGCGAAAGCCAGGGGAGCAAACGGG